UGCGCAGGCGGCCAUGUGUGUGAGGCGUGAAAGCCCGAGGCUUAACCUCGGAAUUGCACCUCAAACUACAUGGCUAGAGCAUUGGAGAGGGUAGCAGAAUUCACGGUGUAGCAGUGAAAUGCGUAGAUAUCGUGAGGAAUACCAGAGGCGAAGGCGGCUACCUGGACAAUUGCUGACGCUCAGGCACGAAAGCGUGGGGAGCAAAAGGGAUUAGAUACCCCUGUAGUCCACGCCCUAAACGGUGCACACUAGGUCUUGGCGGAUUCGACCCCCCCAGGGCCCAAGCUAACGCGUUAAGUGUGCCGCCUGAGGACUACGGCCGCAAGGCUAAA
rnacentral:rRNA from 1 species